UAAACUGCAGUGUACACUCAUUGACCCAGAGACGCUACAACUCCACGCACAUGUGAUUGGCUGGGCUUCCGAGCUGCUCCCCUAAUGGAUCGUUGACUCCACCUACCAGAAUUCUCUGCUCUCUUUAUACUCUGAUCCAAGAACUCCCUUGUCAGGAUCCAAAGCCUGAUUGGCUGAUUGCUCAGGGGCUGACAUCCCUGCUUAAUUUUCUCCAGAUCUGUAGCGCCGCCCCCUCUGCUCUAGUGCAGGCUUCUUCACCUGGAACGCCUGCCUCAUACAGUUGAUCGUUCGGGGCUUCGGGCUACGUCGGGUCCGCAGUCGAGUUUUCCACCAUGCCGCCGCCACUCCCGGUGAUGCCAUCCGCGCCGCCGGUGGGGAUGUUGAGCAGUAGCAGCAGCAAGGUUCCGAGGGGGUGGCUUCUGGGUGGUGGUGACAAAGUGGUACACAACGUUGACUCCAGGCUGCCUGGAGAGGCUCAGCCACCACAGCUGGAGGCGACGCCGAUCACCAAGUACACGUCGGACCCUGGCCUCGUGUUGGGUAGGCAGAUCACUGUAAACCGGAAGUACAUCCUGUAUGCGCUCAAGCUGGGGAACAUCCGUGUGCUAAAUAUCAACACGGCGCUUCGCUCACUCCUCCGUGGCCAUACACAGAGAGUCACGGACAUGGCUUUCUUUUCUGAGGACGUACAUCGUUUAGCAAGUGCCAGUGUAGAUGGGCGGAUAUACGUGUGGAAUAUUGAUGAGGGGCCCGAUGAGGAAAGUAGACCACAAAUUACAGGAAAGAUAGAAAUUGCCAUACAGAUUGUAGGUCACGCUGAAUCUUACCACCCAAGAAUCUGUUGGCACUCUCAUAAGCAAGAACUUCUGUAUGUUGGAAUAAAAAAUUGUGUCUUAAGAAUAGAUACGACUAAAGUGGGAAGAGGAAGAGACUUUAGCGUGGAAGAACCUAUUAAAUGUCAUCUUGACGAGAUGAUUGAUGGUGUGUGCUUAGUUGGUAAGCACGAUGGUGAUGUGACAGAUUUGUCCAUAUCUCACUGGAUGACCACCCGGCUGGCUUCAGGAUCAAAAGAUGGCAUGGUAAAGAUCUGGGAUGAUCGCAAGUCAGUGCCUCUAUCAGUUCUGAAGCCACAUGAUGGCCAAGCUGUUUACUCAGUGGCCUUUCUUACAGCACCUGACCGCCCCAAUCACAUAAAUCUUAUCACAUCAGGUCCUCUAAGCCAAGAAAUUAAAAUUUGGGCUUCUACCAAUGAAGAAGGUUGGUUGUUGCCAAGUGAUUCUGAGUCUUGGAAUUGUACCCAGACCUUAGAACUUGUUAGUUCUCUGGAAUCUAGGGUCGAGGAGGCAUUUUUCAACCAAGUCGCAGUGCUACCUCAAGCAAGCAUUAUUUUACUUGCAAAUGCUAAAAAGAAUGCUAUUUAUGCGGUGCAUGUCGAGUAUGAUUUGGAUCCUGCUUCUACUCACUUGGACUAUAUAGCAGAUUUUACAGUCGGAAUGCCUAUUUUAAGUCUGAUUGGCAUACAUGAAAGCCAACCUGAUGGUGAGCAGGUUGUUCAGCUCUAUUGUAUCCAAACAAUGGCCAUACAGCUGUAUGGGCUGGAGUUAUCACUUUGUUCUCCCCCAUCUGAUAUUACUGGACUUGGAAGUUACCCUACAGAAGUUGCUGAUAUGCAAGGAAUGCUGCAACAGGCUGUGCAAAGAUUCCAGGAACUGUUCUCCCAAACAAAAUUCAAGGAAGCAGUGGAGCUGGCUGUAGAAUUCCCUCAGGGUCUUCUGCGAACUCCUGAGACUGUUGCAAAAUUGAAGAGUGCUCCUCUUCAACUUGGGCAAGUGUCUCCACUCCUGCACUACUUUGCCACAUUGCUAACUCAAGGGAAGCUCAAUGCUUACGAGUCUCUUGAGUUAUCUCGACUUGCUAUUAAUCAGAACGGAAAGAGCCUUCUGGAAGGUUGGUUGGCGGAUGACAAGUUAGAGUGCAGUGUAGAGCUAGGAAAUCUUGUUAAGACAGUAGACGAUGAUCUUGCACUGAAGAUAUACAUAAGGGCUACUACUUCCAGUUCUGCACUCAAGGGACCAGGAGAAAUAAACUAUAAGGAUUACGAUGGUGAAGGGUCAUCUAUCUUUCCUAGCAACAUAACCCCUGGGCCUUCUUCAGAAAUGCCAGACCUAGCAAGUGAAAUUGAAGCCCUGGAGCACAUAUUUAGUGAUGCAAGUGUACAGCCGACAAAGCUGUCUUAUGCACUUAUAAAAUCUGUAACAAAUAAUUUCUCUAAAGUGAUUGGUCGUGGUGGAUUUGCGGUUGUUUACCAGGGAGUUCUUCGAAACGGGAAGAUUGCUCUGAAAAAGCUUUCCUUAUCUAAUGGUUUUUCUGAUGAGCUAUUUGUGGAUGAGAUUGAGUGUUUAACAAAGGCAAAGCACAAUAAUGUAGUAAGGUAUCUAGGCUAUUGUGCAGAUACACAAGGGGAAUUGAUGGAAUUCAACGGAAGGUGUGUGAUAGCAGAGGUACCAAAAAGGCUGCUCUGCUUUGAGUUUGUCCCAAAUGGAAGCCUUCACCGUUAUCUUAAAGGGAAGCUUUGUGGAGAUGAAUGGCAAGUACGUUAUAAAAUGAUUAAGGGGAUCUGUCAGGGUUUGCAGUAUCUUCACAAAAUCCGCAUCAAUCAUUUGGAUCUAAAGCCUGGAAAUAUUCUGUUGGAUGUUGGCAUGGAGCCAAAAAUUGCAGACUUCGGUUUGUCAAGAUGCUUUGAUGAAGAACAAUCCAGAGUAUUUACUAAACACAUUUAUGGAACACGGGGAUAUAUUGCACCAGAAAUCAUAAACAAUGGAGAAAUAUCAUUCAAGUCAGAUAUAUUCGCUUUGGGCAUUAUCAUCAUAAAGCUAUUAACGGGGCACAACGACUAUGAUAUUGAAAAUUGGCAUAAAUCAUUAAAUGCGGACUGCCCACAAGUGAGAAGAUGCAUUGAAAUAGCUCAAGCAUGUGUGGACGAUGACCAGCAUAAAAGAUUUGCUAUAGACGAGAUAAUUCACAAGCUGGAUGAGCUAGAGACCAUUGUGGACUCUCCAGCUAUCAGUUAAUCAAUUGAGAAUGGACAUGGUUCCUCUAUAUACCAGGUAUGAUCUUUCGAAGGCAGAGAUACAAUUCAGAUUUACAAUUUACAAAUUAACAAAUAGGUUUGCUCUGGCAUAGAAGUUAUCCCUAGAACGGGGAGUGCAAGCAAAGAGGCAGGGUUGCAAGGAGCAGAGCAGAUUCAGACCUGCUUGGUGCAGCGGUCCUGCAGGUUGUGGCGCCGAGCUGAUCUGGGCGCAUUUCAGGUGUUGGUGCUGUUUGCGUUAGAUCACGUCGACCGCAGGGUGCCUAAAAAAUUGAAACAUUCUUCAGUUUCUGAAUGAUGAAAUUGGGACGUUUGCUCCUCCUCCUAUGAAAGAAGAAUCUGUCGAUGGCUCGAUAUUGUCCAUGAUCACCACUGGGAAAGCUCCGAGGAUCGCUGAGGAUUCACGAUGCACUCACUCCAGUUGAAACUAAAUGUGUAGAUCAUCCUUUUUCAUGCUAGUCUCUUGGGUUAAAGAAAGAAUGUAAUCAAGGGAAGCAAAAUGGCUCCAGGGAGCACAUGCUUCUGGGAUGAUCGCUGAAAUAAAAGUCAGUUUCAGGCACCAAAAUACCAAGCACGGAAGCUGAUUGCACUAAAAUGAACUACUGGCUCAGAUAGUCACCUUUAAAGUGUAUAUAUAUGGACCAAAGUUAAGGGAGCUUAACUGCCAACACAUUGUACUCUUUAUUAGUCGAACAGACCGAUACAUAAAACGAACAUUAGUUUCA